rnacentral:rRNA from 1 species
UACAGAGGUCUCAAGCGUUGUUCGGAUUCAUUGGGCGUAAAGGGUGUGUAGGUGGCGCGCUAAGUCGGGUGUGAAAUUUCGGAGCUUAACUCCGAAACUGCAUUCGAUACUGGCGUGCUUGAGGACUGGAGAGGAGACUGGAAUUUACGGUGUAGCAGUGAAAUGCGUAGAUAUCGUAAGGAAGACCAGUGGCGAAGGCGGGUCUCUGGACAUUUCCUGACGCUGAGGCACGAAAGCCAGGGGAGCAAACGGG